rnacentral:lncRNA from 1 species
AAAACACCAAGGUCCGAAAGUUAGUACUGCCAAUUGUGUCGGAUUUCAAAUCCUGAUGCGCCUACAUGGAGCUUGGAUUGCAAGAAGUCUGAAAUCACGGCCAAAUCACACUGGAGGACGUUGGAGCGCGGCCAAAAAGGCACUGCUCCAGUGUGACUACACCUAGGCUUCUAGAGACGAUGAAGGCUGGAGGAGGAGCUGUCCUUGGGUUUCAAAGGGUGGGGAACACAAAUCCGCCGUCGGAUUUAAAAGGAAGAGGCUACAGGUGGCUGGUUCCAUGGUGGUAACGGGGAGGAGCAACUCCACCCACAAGCCGACGUCAAACAUCGAGAAAAGGAGAAGAGGAAGACGACGCUGGAGAGGAAAGGAUAAGAAGAAAAUUUUGGUGGCUUGAUUGGAGGUGCAGGCUGUGGAAAUGGAGGUAGGGAGGAGGAGGAGGAGGAGUGUGAAAAUUUUGGUGGCUUAAUUAAAAUCCUUUUAUUUUAAUUAUUAUACAUAUGUAUGUAUUUACACACAUAUACACUUAAUUAUUAAAGUAACAAGUAAAUGCUAGCUUAAACUCUUAAUAAUAAAGAUAAGUCUAUAGAAUAAAUAAUUUUUUAAUAUUUAGUUUAAAUUAAAUCCAAG